GGGGUGUGUCAUUGUCCAGGGGGAGGUCAGUCACCUGGAAGACAGGAACAUGCUGCCGGAGACUUGAAAGGAAGCACGCACUUGGGGGCACCUCCCAGAAAGAGGGAAGAAAACGGGGCCCUGUUAGACAUUCAUGAGACUCGUCUCCCGCACAGAGGUUUUAAACCCCAUGAGCUUCAGCCAAAGAUGCAGGGCCCCACCUCCCAGUGCACAGACGAUAGAGAAGGCUGUUGUUCCUAGGCACUUCCAGGUCACAGUGCCCGAAUUCACACCUGGGCAGGAUGCUGUCUGUCUUUAUCCUUCCUUUGGGGAGACAAAUGACUCCCCCACAGGCCCCAAACAAAGCCCACAGCCAGCAGUCCUGGGCCCCCACCCCUAAACUCAGGCGAUUUUGAGUCCCAGGAACAAACAGAAAAAUGAAACGAACAAAUUAUCAUUUGCUCAGGAAGCCCAGAAAGUCACCCCCAGAAAGAUGCGGAGGAAGAGCUGGGUCCUAACGCGUGGGCCCAACGGUGAAGUCAGCCGGUUUAGGUCACGCUCCGCCCUGAUCUUCCCAGGCCUAGAUUUAAAAAUGGAACAUCUGCGCUGAUUUAAUUUACAUCUUAAUAACAAACAGGCCUCGAGAAACCAGCGGAUAAAUGCCUUUUAUUGCUGGCGUAUCUUUUGCGCCACAGCUUGAAUGAAAACUCUGGUGCAGGAGUGGUACUGAGCUCUGGAGAAGCCAUGAGCUCUGGAGCAGCUGUGAGCUCUAGAGAAGCAUCUGUGGAACAUACAUCGGAGUGCUGUGAAUAUCCCAGGGCCAGUUCUUUGCAAAAGGGAAGACAUGUUUGGUUGACUGACACACAGGGGUGUGAGUUCAAGACCAGCCUGGGUAUGACCGUCUCUAAAUAAAUACAGCAAACUGGUUAUGGCUGGGUGGCAGAUCACGUGCCUAGCACUCGUGACUCCCUGGGCUCCGUGCCCAGCACCUCAACAAGGAAAGAAAUGGCAUUUUCAUUUCACUUUUAGAACGUUAGAAUUUUGUUGUUAAGGCGACGUGCCCACUAGAAUGAGGAAGCGUUGGAAGGGUCCCACAUCCCUCGAGGAGAUAUCAUGUCACCCCCCGCAGCCGACUGUGGUUGCGCAGGCCUGUGGACUCAGGCACGAAGGAAACUGAUGCCUGAGGAGACAUGCUCUCUGUCGUGUUAAAUAUGAACCCUGGGAUGGACAGCGGCCUAAAUGUUCACCCAAGAGAGCACAAGAAAUGAAUGGUGACUGACCCAGGAGCCGCUUCCAGGGCCAGUUCUGAAAGUAACAACUGUGGACAUAACUUUAAUGUUACCAGUGACCCGGAAGGAGAAUAAGACACCAGACUGCACAUCAUCAUCUGUGACGUCAGGCACGAAGCAAAAGCUGGAUUGUUGAGUCUACAGGGCAAGGCACAAGGGUGCCACCGGUGCAUUUUUCUACCAUACUUGUGUUGUUGUAAAAUUAUGUCUGUCUCCUGUGUCUUAUCCACUUCCCUCCUGAAGCUCAGAGGUAAAAGUUUGUGCUGGGUGCAGUGUCCUGUUCUUGUAGUUGCUGGCCAUAGGACUUUGAGCAAAUGGCCCUCUCUGAGUCUGUCUCCUCCCCUGUUAAGUGGACUUUUAUUGUGCCUUGCCAACCAGCACAGGGAAAUCAGAAUA